rnacentral:misc_RNA from 1 species
GUGAAUCAUCGAAUUUUUGAACGCAAAUUGCACUCUCCUCUGAUAGUGUGCCUGUUUGAGGUUCAGCCUAAGAAAAAUCAACAUCCGUGCUGUUCCUCGGUGUCAUUCCUCGGAAAUUGGGUUAUCUUAAACCUUUUUGUUUAAGCAACUUAAAAUUUUCUUUUUGAUUCCUUGAACAUUUCUAAAAGUUAUUUCGUUACACUUUUAAGUUAUCCAUUUUUUUUAUACGUUGUCGUCAUAUCGGAUCUCGUCCAUAAUUGUUCGCUGACU